rnacentral:rRNA from 1 species
GACAGAGGUGCCGAGCGUUAGGCGGAAUCACUGGGCUUAAAGCGUGUGUAGGCGGGCCCGUAAGUACCUUGUGAAAUCCCACCGCUCAACGGUGGAACUGCUCGGUAUACUGCGGGUCUUGAGCCACCUAGGGGCAGCCGGAACAAGCGGUGGAGCGGUGAAAUGCGCAGAUAUCAGGAGGAACACCAAUGGCGAAGGCAGCUCGCUGGGACGUGACUGACGCUGAGACGCGAAAGCGUGGGGAGCAAACAGG